CAGGUCUGUGAUGCCCUUAGAUGUUCUGGGCCGCACGCGCGCUACACUGACAGAGCCAGCGAGUCUACCACCUUUGCCGGAAGGCAUGGGUAAUCUUGUGAAACUCUGUCGUGAUGGGGAUAGAACAUUGCAAUUAUUGUUCUUCAACGAGGAAUACCUAGUAAGCGUGAUUCAUCAGAUCGCGUUGAUUACGUCCCUGCCCUUUGUACACACCGC
rnacentral:rRNA from 1 species